GGCCAAAAAGUUCGUUCAGGUUUUUCCAUGUUACAGAAAAACCUGAACGAACUUUCUGGCUAACCCAA
rnacentral:miRNA from 1 species